rnacentral:misc_RNA from 1 species
GAUGAAGAACGUAGCGAAAUGCGAUAAGUAGUGUGAAUUGCAGAAUUCAGUGAAUCAUCGAAUCUUUGAACGCACAUUGCGCCCCUUGGUAUCCCGAGGGGCAUGCCUGUUCGAGUGUCAUUUCACCACUCAAGCCUGGCUUGGUGUUGGGCGACGUCCUCUUUGGGGACGCGCCUCGAAACGCUCGGCGGCGUGGCACCGGCUUUAAGCGUAGCAGAAUCUUUCGCUUUGGAAGUCGGGGCCCCGUCUGCCGGAAGACCUGCUCGCAAGGUUGACCUCGGAUCAGGCAGGGAUACCCGCUGAACUUAAGCAUAUCAAUAAGCGGAGGA